GACACAGAUGACAAAAAUCAAAGGGUGAAGUCUCUUUGUUCAUCAUUCAGCAUAUUCUUAUUUGUGGAAAAUGUUCAUUGAUUUAUUCUUUUUAGCAUGUUUCCCUCUCUCUUGAUAUUGAAAAGUAACUUUUAUUUUCAAUGCGGCAACAAAAAUCUGUCUUCUCACUGGGAAGGAAAUUUUCUUCCCUGGUAGAAUGGGAAGGUUGUUGGUCAGUGAUGGGUAAUAAUUUUAUCCCUUACUUUCUGCAGCUUGAAAGAGG
rnacentral:misc_RNA from 1 species